UUCAGGAAACAUUUGAACCUUUUUGGACCUGGCCGGCAUCUGUAGCUCGGCCACUGCAGAGUCACACCACACAGAGGAGGAAGAGGAGGAGGAGGAGGAUGAUGGGGAGCUGUUCUGCAAUGUCAGAGCUUUGAUGUGACGUGGUGACGAUUCCUGCUGCCCAGCGAGUUUACUGCUGCAGUCCUGUGGUUCCGGGAUUAAAGCCCGUCAAUCUCAGUAGCUGAUAAAGUCAGACCUCUCUGCCUACCCACAGUUUCUCUCACUGAAUGAGGCACUGACAGAAUAAAGAAGAGCUCCUGGAGACCAGACUCUCUUAUCAGCCUCCAACAUCUGGCUGAGACUGAUGGGCUCUUGGAAGCGCUCUCCAAAUAUCAUUGAGUUUGAGCUGCAAAAUGCUUGUUUAACCGCAUCCUUCCUACAAUGCUAAUUCAGCCCCUCUCAUUACAUGUCUUUCACCAGAGGAACCCGUUUCUAUGAUUACUGAAAUUAGUUCCUCAACAGGACAGGAUUAAUGGGAGGCAGUAGUCUAAAGGGCGAUAAAAACGAGACUGAAAGGUGAGUCAAGUCAUACGUGAGCGAAAGGGAAUUGAAAUAUGACGUGACGUGGCUGGAUCAAAGAGUACAAAACUGAUAAAUAUCAAAUUUGCCAGAUGUUAAGCUUUUAAAGCUGUGCUUGAAAGAAGUUUUCACUGAAAUGAAAAAGCCGUUUCCAGAGGAAAUUAUCCCUCCUGUCAGUACUGUCAUCAUGCAUUUCAGCUUAUUAAUUCAAAACUCUGAGGUAAUCUGCACUUGAUGAGAAAAAAAAUAACUUAAACACCUGUUUCGGUGUUUGCAAAGCACUUGCCAAAAGUGUGGCUAAACACGAAAAGGGUUAGAGCAGAUGUACCACAGUGAGUCAUUUUUGGUGAAAAAACCUGCUUCACCUGUCCGCCAUGCAGCUACAUGUUGCCUUAUUUUGAUCAC